CUACGUGCCAGCAGCCGCGGUAAUACGGAAGGUCCAGGCGUUAUCCGGAUUUAUUGGGUUUAAAGGGAGCGUAGGCUGGAGAUUAAGUGUGUUGUGAAAUGUAGACGCUCAACGUCUGACUUGCAGCGCAUACUGGUUUCCUUGAGUACGCACAACGUUGGCGGAAUUCGUCGUGUAGCGGUGAAAUGCUUAGAUAUGACGAAGAACUCCGAUUGCGAAGGCAGCUGACGGGAGCGCAACUGACGCUGAAGCUCGAAGGUGCGGGUAUCGAACAGGAUUAGAUACCCUGGUAGUCCGCACAGUAAACGAUGGAUGCCCGCUGUUGGUACGUGGUAUCAGCGGCUAAGCGAAAGCAUUAAGCAUCCCACCUGGGGAGUACGCCGGCAACGGUGAAACUCAAAGGAAUUGACGGGGGCCCGCACAAGCGGAGGAACAUGUGGUUUAAUUCGAUGAUACGCGAGGAACCUUACCCGGGCUUGAAUUGCAGAGGAAGGAUUUAGAGAUA
rnacentral:rRNA from 1 species